UAUAAUGCCUCUUUUUUAGGUGCAUAUACUUUAAAGAGUAAUGUUAAACGGGAAACUUGGUGACCAACGCAAAGGUUUAUAAAACCGCUUUGCGUUUCCAUUCCAGUGCUGCCCCCGCAACGGUAAUAGAGAAAACCUGAUUCCAUGCCAUUGAGUUCCCAGAACUUGAGAAGGCGUCAGGAAAUUGCUCUUAAGCCCGGAUACCGGCCUAAACCUGACUUUACGU
rnacentral:ncRNA from 2 species